GCUGGAUUUAAGCAUAUUAAUAAGCGGAGGAAGAGAAACUAACUAGGAUUCCCUCAGUAAGGGCGACUGAAGCGGGAAGAGCCCACCAUGUGAAUCUGUGCAGAUUAAAGAUUGCACCGAAUUGUGGUCUGGAGAAGCGCGUUCUGCAACAGCCCUGAGCAAAGUCCCUUGGAACAGGGCAGCUGAGAGGGUGACACUCCCGUGUGUGCCUGGGUGCUGUGUGCUUUAGUACGCGUGUUCUGCGAGUCGAGUUGUUUGGGAUUGCAGCUCGAAUUGGGUGGUAAAUUCCAUCUAAGGCUAAAUAUUGGUGGUAGACCGAUAGCGAACAAGUACCGUGAGGGAAAGAUGCAAAGAACUUUGAAAAGAGAGUUAAAGAGUACCUGAAAUUGCUGAAAGGGAAGCGAAGGAAACGAGUGUUGUAGUGGGUUGUAUUUCUCAGGUUGCUUGCAAUCUGGGCACUGCAGCCUGGUGCGGGUCAGCAUCAGGUCAGCUGGGUACAAGUGUCUGUGAGUGAGGUAACUCCCUGGUGGAGUGUUAAUACUUGCAGAUGUGUGCUUGGGUGGCCUGAGGAUAGUCACAUGUGCUCGUGAUGCUGACGAAAUUGUUUUCUUCUCCCCGUCUUGAAACCG
rnacentral:rRNA from 2 species